CGGAGCCAGGCAUAAAUCAGGGAGCUGAUUUUAUCCAAUAGGAAACUUUAUUAUAGGAAAUUAAAAAAAUAAAAAAGGAGAGAGAGAGGAGGAGAGAAAGAGACAGGGGGAAGUUUUAUAUAUAUAUUUAUAUUUAAAGUGGAGACUACACAAUCUCUGAGGAAUUACUGCAGAGCUCCAGGGGGGGCCGAAGGAACAAGGGCUCCUUAGGAUGGCACGCCUAAGCUCCAGUUCUCUUUGAUGGUGGGGUUCUUGCUUCCUCUCCCUUCCUUUCCGGGUAGGGAAAUAAGAGCUGAUUUGAUUUGCCUGCUGCUAUUUGGUUUGUUGCUUUCAACCCCAAAGCAUUUUCCCAAAAGAAGACAGGAAGGGAAGGAGAGAAAAAUCCUAGAAACAGGACCGCUAUGUAUUGAUUGGAUGGUAGGGAAUAUCUGAGUAUUCCUGGUCCUCCAUAGCAAGUUCAAAAGCCAAAGAUGACUGCCAAAGGAAAACAACCAGCACAAGAAAUGUUCGUUGAUUAAUUCCUAGAUCAGAGCCACAUUUUAGAAUAUUCUAUGAUUUUCUAGCGAUGGAUUGGUCUUGUUUCCUUCACAUCAUCACUAAAAACUUGCAAGUAUUUUGCCUUC